GACGAACGCUGGCGGCGCGCUUAACACAUGCAAGUCGAGCGAUGAAAUUUCGACAGAUCCCUUCGGGGUGAAGAUGAAAUGGAUUAGCGGCGGACGGGUGAGUAACACGUGAGUAACCUGCCUUUGACAUUGGGAUAGCCUCGGGAAACUGGGAUUAAUACCAAAUGACACUAACUGAUCACAGGAUCAAUUAGUCAAAGAAAUUCGGUCAAAGAUGGACUCGCGGCUGAUUAGCUAGUUGGUGAGGUAACGGCCCACCAAGGCGACGAUCAGUAGCCGGCCUGAGAGGGUGAUCGGCCACAUUGGAACUGAGACACGGUCCAAACUCCUACGGGCGGCAGCAGUGGGGAAUAUUCCACAAUGUGGGAAACCCUGAUGCCUCUACGCCGCGUGAGCGAAGAAGGCCUUCGGGUCGUAAAGCUCUUUUAUGAGGGAAGAUAAUGACGGUACCUCAAGAAAAAGCCCCGGCUAACUACGUG
rnacentral:rRNA from 1 species